GACGAACGCUGGCGGCGUGCUUAACACAUGCAAGUCGAACGGAAAGGCCCUGCUGUUGUGGGGUGCUCGAGUGGCGAACGGGUGAGUCACAAGUGAGUAACCUGCCCUUGACUUUGGGCUAACUUCAGGUAACUGGGGCUAAUACUGGAUAGUAGCUCCUGAUGCAUGGGGGGGGAUGGAUAAUUUGGGUGGUUGGGGAUGGACUGGCGGCUUGUCAGCUUGUUGGGGGGGUGGUGGCUUACCAGGGCUUUGACGGGUAGCCGGCCUGGGAGGGUGACCGGCACAAUUGGGACUGGGAUACGGCACAGACUCCUACGGGAGGAAGCAGUGGGGAAUAUGGCACAAUGGGCGGAAGCCUGAUGCAGCAACGCGGCGUGCGGGAUGACGGCCUUCGGGUGUUAAACCGCUUUCGCCUGUGACGAAGCGUGAGUGACGGUAAUGGGUAAAGAAGCACCGGCUAACUACGUG
rnacentral:rRNA from 1 species